GAUUAAGUUAUUAAGGGCGCACGGUGGAUGCCUUGGCACUAGAAGCCGAUGAAGGACGUUACUAACGACGAUAUGCUUUGGGGAGCUGUAAGUAAGCUUUGAUCCAGAGAUUUCCGAAUGGGGAAACCCAGCAUGAGUUAUGUCAUGUUAUCGAUAUGUGAAUACAUAGCAUAUCAGAAGGCACACCCGGAGAACUGAAACAUCUUAGUACCCGGAGGAAGAGAAAGAAAAUUCGAUUCCCUUAGUAGCGGCGAGCGAAACGGGAAGAGCCCAAACCAGCAAGCUUGCUUGUUGGGGUUGUAGGACACUCUAUACGGAGUUACAAAGGACGACAUUAGACGAAUCAUCUGGAAAGAUGAAUCAAAGAAGGUAAUAAUCCUGUAGUCGAAAAUGUUGUCUCUCUUGAGUGGAUCCUGAGUACGACGGAGCACGUGAAAUUCCGUCGGAAUCUGGGAGGACCAUCUCCUAAGGCUAAAUACUCUCUAGUGACCGAUAGUGAACCAGUACCGUGAGGGAAAGGUGAAAAGCACCCCGGAAGGGGAGUGAAAUAGAACCUGAAACCGUGUGCUUACAAGUAGUCAGAGCCCGUUAAUGGGUGAUGGCGUGCCUUUUGUAGAAUGAACCGGCGAGUUACGAUUUGAUGCAAGGUUAAGCAGUAAAUGUGGAGCCGUAGCGAAAGCGAGUCUGAAUAGGGCGUUUAGUAUUUGGUCGUAGACCCGAAACCAGGUGAUCUACCCUUGGUCAGGUUGAAGUUCAGGUAACACUGAAUGGAGGACCGAACCGACUUACGUUGAAAAGUGAGCGGAUGAACUGAGGGUAGCGGAGAAAUUCCAAUCGAACCUGGAGAUAGCUGGUUCUCUCCGAAAUAGCUUUAGGGCUAGCCUCAAGUGAUGAUUAUUGGAGGUAGAGCACUGUUUGGACGAGGGGCCCCUCUCGGGUUACCGAAUUCAGACAAACUCCGAAUGCCAAUUAAUUUAACUUGGGAGUCAGAACAUGGGUGAUAAGGUCCGUGUUCGAAAGGGAAACAGCCCAGACCACCAGCUAAGGUCCCAAAAUAUAUGUUAAGUGGAAAAGGAUGUGGCGUUGCCCAGACAACUAGGAUGUUGGCUUAGAAGCAGCCAUCAUUUAAAGAGUGCGUAAUAGCUCACUAGUCGAGUGACACUGCGCCGAAAAUGUACCGGGGCUAAACAUAUUACCGAAGCUGUGGAUUGUCCUUUGGACAAUGGUAGGAGAGCGUUCUAAGGGUGUUGAAGCAUGAUCGUAAGGACAUGUGGAGCGCUUAGAAGUGAGAAUGCCGGUGUGAGUAGCGAAAGACGGGUGAGAAUCCCGUCCACCGAUUGACUAAGGUUUCCAGAGGAAGGCUCGUCCGCUCUGGGUUAGUCGGGUCCUAAGCUGAGGCCGACAGGCGUAGGCGAUGGAUAACAGGUUGAUAUUCCUGUACCACCUAUAAUCGUUUUAAUCGAUGGGGGGACGCAGUAGGAUAGGCGAAGCGUGCGAUUGGAUUGCACGUCUAAGCAGUAAGGCUGAGUAUUAGGCAAAUCCGGUACUCGUUAAGGCUGAGCUGUGAUGGGGAGAAGACAUUGUGUCUUCGAGUCGUUGAUUUCACACUGCCGAGAAAAGCCUCUAGAUAGAAAAUAGGUGCCCGUACCGCAAACCGACACAGGUAGUCAAGAUGAGAAUUCUAAGGUGAGCGAGCGAACUCUCGUUAAGGAACUCGGCAAAAUGACCCCGUAACUUCGGGAGAAGGGGUGCUCUUUAGGGUUAACGCCCAGAAGAGCCGCAGUGAAUAGGCCCAAGCGACUGUUUAUCAAAAACACAGGUCUCUGCUAAACCGUAAGGUGAUGUAUAGGGGCUGACGCCUGCCCGGUGCUGGAAGGUUAAGAGGAGUGGUUAGCUUCUGCGAAGCUACGAAUCGAAGCCCCAGUAAACGGCGGCCGUAACUAUAACGGUCCUAAGGUAGCGAAAUUCCUUGUCGGGUAAGUUCCGACCCGCACGAAAGGCGUAACGAUUUGGGCACUGUCUCAACGAGAGACUCGGUGAAAUCAUAGUACCUGUGAAGAUGCAGGUUACCCGCGACAGGACGGAAAGACCCCGUGGAGCUUUACUGUAGCCUGAUAUUGAAAUUCGGCACAGCUUGUACAGGAUAGGUAGGAGCCUUUGAAACGUGAGCGCUAGCUUACGUGGAGGCGCUGGUGGGAUACUACCCUAGCUGUGUUGGCUUUCUAACCCGCACCACUUAUCGUGGUGGGAGACAGUGUCAGGCGGGCAGUUUGACUGGGGCGGUCGCCUCCUAAAAGGUAACGGAGGCGCUCAAAGGUUCCCUCAGAAUGGUUGGAAAUCAUUCAUAGAGUGUAAAGGCAUAAGGGAGCUUGACUGCGAGACCUACAAGUCGAGCAGGGUCGAAAGACGGACUUAGUGAUCCGGUGGUUCCGCAUGGAAGGGCCAUCGCUCAACGGAUAAAAGCUACCCCGGGGAUAACAGGCUUAUCUCCCCCAAGAGUUCACAUCGACGGGGAGGUUUGGCACCUCGAUGUCGGCUCAUCGCAUCCUGGGGCUGUAGUCGGUCCCAAGGGUUGGGCUGUUCGCCCAUUAAAGCGGUACGCGAGCUGGGUUCAGAACGUCGUGAGACAGUUCGGUCCCUAUCCGUCGUGGGCGUAGGAAAUUUGAGAGGAGCUGUCCUUAGUACGAGAGGACCGGGAUGGACAUACCUCUGGUGUACCAGUUGUCGUGCCAACGGCAUAGCUGGGUAGCUAUGUGUGGACGGGAUAAGUGCUGAAAGCAUCUAAGCAUGAAGCCCCCCCUCAAGAUGAGAUUUCCCAACUUCGGUUAUAAGAUCCCUCAAAGAUGAUGAGGUUAAUAGGUUCGAGGUGGAAGCAUGGUGACAUGUGGAGCUGACGAAUACUAAUCGAUCGAAGACUUAAUCAA
rnacentral:rRNA from 1 species